UGUUGAUGAUGAUAAAAUCUAAGGCUUGUUUCUCAAAACAUUUGCAGUGGCCGCCUAUGUGCUUUCGUCUUCGCCGGGUUUGAGAGCUUGUGUUGCUUCUAUCCUUCCUUGGAUGUCUGAAACA
rfam:Ipomoea nil DNA, scaffold: scaffold2827, cultivar: Tokyo-kokei standard.